UACGGGGGGUGCGAGCGUUGUCCGGAAUCACUGGGCGUAAAGGGCGCGUAGGUGGCGUGAUAAGGGUGUGGUGAAAGCCCGGGGCUCAACCCCGGGUCUGCCAUGCCGACUGUCAGGCUAGAGUACUGUAGGGGCAGGCGGAAUUCCGGGUGUAGCGGUGGAAUGCGUAGAGAUCCGGAGGAAGACCGGUGGCGAAGGCGGCCUGCUGGGCAGUUACUGACACUGAGGCUCGACAGCGUGGGGAGCAAACAGG
rnacentral:rRNA from 1 species